AGCUAAGAUCGCCAUUGCAUUCUAUCUUAAUCAAUGGCUCCAACGCUUUAAAUCAAGAUGCAAAUGAUGACAAUGAAGGGUAAGAUCAAAGUUAAGCCAAGCAGAGGAAAGCACCACGUCCAUGAACCUAUGAGUAUGGAAGAUUUCACAUAAGACGUUUACGAGUUUCAUAAAUGUCAUGAAAUUGGUUCAAAUGAAAACUUCCUCAACUCACAGUUCAUUAGAUAGGAUCUCUUAAUACUCAUUGAAGUCUAAAUCUUAUCGCCGAACUCAUUUAUUAAGUGUUUUUGAUUGAAAUUGUCUCAUUUGAGUUUUUUCAUUGACAUGUUGCGCUCAACAUGGAGCCGAUACCACUAUUUACGAAAAAUACCUCAAAUGGUCUAGAUUCGACCAAAUCUGAUGCUACUGCAGAUUCAUGCAGCUCUAUUCCACAAAGUUGGUCCAAGAUCUUGCGACUUUUGGUGUUGGAGGGAUAUAGAAGAUAUUGAUUCGAGGUCCAAAUAUGUGAUUCCUAAACUAAUAGAGAAACUAGGUGAGCUUGAGAAUUUAGUUGAAUCUUGUCAUUUCAAUGAAAUUGAGAAAUUGAUUGGGUUGAACAAAUUAUUUGAGGAAGGUUCAGAAGAAGUUGACAGGCCUAAAGAAUCCAAACAAAAUGAUAAUGGGAUUAAUAUGAAAUUGGAGAAGUUGGAAAAAGAUUAGGAAGAUCGAGAAAGAGAAGAAGUGGAGACGAAUAGCUAAAGGGAGGACUAGAGAGAAUACUCACUUCUUUGUUAUGUUUUUUUGUUGUAUAUUAGUAAUAGCUAUAAGUUAUUUGGUUAGGAUGCUCUGUAUGAAAAAUGUUCAAUGAGGUUACCUUAGCACUAGGUUGUUAUUGUUAGAUGAUAUGUUCCAAAUUGUUGUGUUGAGUAGUGCAACUUCUUUUGUAUUUGGAUUUUUGUAUAUAUAUGAAGAAGAGAAAGGUUGUUAAAUUGAUUGCAUUUGAAUCAUUUUUAUUUAUCUUUUGUAAUAGCGUACAACCUUAGUAGCAAAAAACCAAGUACAGCAAUAAAUUGCAAUUUAAAAAUGCAAAAUAUCA